rnacentral:rRNA from 1 species
GCAGCAGCCACGGGAAUACAGAGGGUGCGAGCGUUAAUCGGAUUUACUGGGCGUAAAGCGUGCGUAGGCGGCUUUUUAAGUCGGAUGUGAAAUCCCUGAGCUUAACUUAGGAAUUGCAUUCGAUACUGGGAAGCUAGAGUAUGGGAGAGGAUGGUAGAAUUCCAGGUGUAGCGGUGAAAUGCGUAGAGAUCUGGAGGAAUACCGAUGGCGAAGGCAGCCAUCUGGCCUAAUACUGACGCUGAGGUACGAAAGCAUGGGGAGCAAACAGGAUUAGAUACCCCAGUAGUCCCUGUCUCUUAUU